rnacentral:lncRNA from 1 species
GCAGGUGAUUUUACGCGCAGCCGCUGCACGCUGAGGGAAAACAGAGAGUGUCAUAACGGGGCUUGAUUACACGCUCAGAGGAUGGUGGCGGAGAUGGCGAGCUGCCGGGCCGCUUGCCACCUGGAGGACGGAGACGGAGAUAUCCCUGCAGCUGAAAACAAAGGUAAACGUUAAACCAUUUUCACCCCCCCUCACUUUAUCAGGGCGCACACAUGCAGGGCAGCCUGUUGUGCAGUGGUCGUGUUGCAAACCACAUCUGACUUCCUUUAUAUUCUUGAAAAUGUCCCAUCUCUCUCCACACUCCUCUUCCUCCCUACUUUUCAUAUCAUUUGCAUUACAGGGCAGAAGGAUUUUGCACAGUCAUGCAAUCACCUCCGUCUUUGCUUUUAUUAAAUAUUGCAAACAAGUACACUAAAUUCUGCUCAUAUUUGUAGAUUUUAGAUUCAUCUGAUAUUUGUACCAGUAAAAUAAGUUUGUCAUGAGUGAAUGUAUUCAUUAAGUUCAAAUAUGUCAUAGUCAGAAUACAGUUACAGUCCUAAAACUAAUAGAAUAAAAGGAUAAUUUUUUAAAGCCUAAUUCA